CCACCUGAAGGGAGAGUCGUUCACUGUGCCCAACAAUUGCUUCUGUUGUCUCAAAGGCUGACAAGAUCUGUUCUCUCCUUGGGACAGCUGGCCAACCCUUGAAUGCCAGUGCUUAUAAAGCAGGUCAGCAGGGCAGGCCAUAGCCAAAGCUGUCCAUUCAUUAGCCAGCUUAAUGAAGCUCGCUCUGUGCUCGGCUUGUUUGGGCAGCAUUAAAUAUGGUGCUUUAGUAGCUUUGCCAUUUUUUUUUCAUCUUAGGAUAAUCUGAACAAUGAUGGGAUUGUAUCUGGGCACCCAAGUGGAAUGUGCAUGGAUUUCAAAAGUGCCACACAUCACCAUCUGCUCCAGGGGCAGCACUGAAUUCAACCUCAUCUUAGACAGCUGAGAGAGCGACGAUGGAAAGAAGGAGGGCACAGAUGGCAUAGGUGGUGCCACACAGCUCCAGAGUCCCCAGUUCAAGUCCCAGUCCUGAACCUGUGUGUGGAAUCGCCCGUUCCCUUGGCAUAUGUGUGGCUUUCCUCUGAGUGCUCGAGCUUCCCAGUGACAUGAAGGUGAAUCUGGGUUACUGAGUGUGAAUUGAUGGACAAAAAUAGAAAAGGCAUCCAUUUAAACUUAAACCUCCAACACAAUAAAGUGUGCAGAAAGUGAAGGGGUCUGAAAAUUUCGUUAAGCCACCGCAUAUCUGAACAUUUUCAGGAAAAGGAAGACAGAAGAUUUGGGUGAAAGGUCUAGGCAAACUGAUUCAGAAGGUGACGUGGCAAAGUGAAAAAGAAGAGCAGUACAACCAGCUGAGUGUGAAACAAAUUGCAGAAACCGAUUACAUAAAUCAGAGAAGAAUGACAGCUCCGACAUCCGCAUUGCAUGAAGCACAUUCAACGUGGCAAACUGCUGGCGCUCGUGGACUACUGGGACUAGAAGUUUGACUUUGGGAGAACUGGAGCUGGAAGGAAGAAAAAUAAACUGCCCUUACCUGUUCCAGCAUCCAAAAUGGCCUCUGCUACAUUUCCUUUACCUGUUACCAUUUUGAUGAUGUCACUUCCUUUGUUUCCUUCGAAGACGUCACUUCCUUUGUUUCAAUUUCCUGUCCCCAUUUUAUUUGUAUAAAUAAUCCCCGCGUUUCGGUAGCGGGUUGUUUUGAACCCUUUGUUUAAAAUGUUUUUCUUUGACCUUGUCCACGUACAUUAUACGGGGCAUUUGCCCAACUCUUCGAAAUGAUUUGGAGUGUUUAAUUUCUCCACAGUCUUCUUUAAUUGGGAACUUAAAGUGAGGAAAAAAUAAAAAUUUAUAAGGGAAA